GAUGAACGCUGGCGGCGUGCUUAACACAUGCAAGUCGAACGGUGAAGCAGGAGCUUGCUCUUGUGGAUCAGUGGCGAACGGGUGAGUAACACGUGAGCAACCUGCCCCUGACUCUGGGAUAAGCGCUGGAAACGGCGUCUAAUACUGGAUAUGUGAUGUGACCGCAUGGUCUGCAUCUGGAAAGAAUUUCGGUUGGGGAUGGGCUCACGGCCUAGCAGCUUGUUGGUGAGGUAAUGGCUCACCAAGGCGUCGACGGGUAGCCGGCCUGAGAGGGUGGCCGGCCACACUGGGACUGAGACACGGCCCAGACUCCUACGGGAGGCAGCAGUGGGGAAUAUUGCACAAUGGGCGGAAGCCUGAUGCAGCAACGCCGCGUGAGGGAUGACGGCCUUCGGGUUGUAAACCUCUUUUAGCAGGGAAGAAGCGAAAGUGACGGUACCUGCAGAAAAAGCACCGGCUAACUACGUGCCAGCCGCCGCGGUAA
rnacentral:rRNA from 1 species